CUAAAAUAGGCUAACAGUUCGAACCUGUUUCCAGCCUUUGUGCUAAGCUAAGCUACCUUGGAGACUAUUUGUCUGUGAGUAAAACGUGUACAUAAGCACAAAUAUAAAUCUCAUGUUGAAGUUUCUGUUAUAAUUUGUCAAGUAGUUGAAAUAUGUCAUACAGUGUUGUUAGAAAGCCCUCAUAUUUUGAUCAUGAUGUUGUAUGGGUUGCGUUAUAGUUGUAUUUCCUCCCUUGUUGAGCUAAUCGGAUGUUUGUGUUUUUUUACGUAAUGUCCUUGAACGCACCUCGUGUGUGACGUAGCUUUUCUCCAUGUUGCAGCACAGUUGUUAGCUAGUUCUCUCCUGUGCACAUGUCUGAACUGGAUGCAUGUUGCAUUUUUUUCUUCCUUAACCUGCUGUGUGUAAAUGAUGAAGGUGAGUGGUCAUGUGUUCCACCAGUAGAGCAUGAUUAUGCACUGUUUAGUGUUACUUGUUGAUCGUUUAGCGACACUUUACAGGACGGACGUUAGCUUAGCAAUUAGCCCACCAUGUUGUCUGUCCGAGCGGGUUUGGCUACAUUGCUACCGUCAUGUGAUUGAAAUGCUGAGCCAUGCAUAAUAUUUUGCCCUUCGUUAUUGUGUUUAUGUGCAUUUGUGUUACUGUUUCAUAGUAUAAUUAUUAUUGUGGUUACAUUUAUGCUGAAUGUCUUACUGAUUCAGUAUUCCUGUUUGUGAUGUUUCAGAACCACAGCUAGCCACAGUUAUCCACAAGUAGCCACAGUUGUCUACCAGUGCAGCACAGAGUUAUCUGCAACAACAAUAAACAUCAUUAACCUGGAAAGUCUGGCUGCCGUGUUCUUUAACGGGCACACCUUCAUACCUUGUGCCACUCUGAAAAUACCUACCUGGAGAACCCUCACUCGCGGUUAGAGGGUUAGAGUUGGAGUUAUAUGUCGGUGAACGGUUUCUGUCGGGUUCGGUACAUGUCUAAUACGUGCUGUGUUCAUGAAUGUAUCAGUGCUUGUAUAGUGAUUUAUUUUCUUUUCUCUGUUGUUGUCUUUUGUCUAUUUCAGUUUUACAAUAUUGACCUGAGUCAAGCUCAAGUAAACCACGCAAACCAAGCAAGAAAAGUUGUACAAACCAACAGGAUAAUUAAAAGUUUGGUUUAUUGCUGUGUUCAUUUUCUCUUACAGCUCAAAGUCGGGCCAGUGGACGGCAUUUGCAGAGACUAUGCGCCUGGGAAGAGCUUCAGCUUUCAGAUCAGAGGUGUGCAAAAGUCAGCCUGGUGGCUGUGGACAACGCUGUGUAUCUUCUCAACAAGGACAGACUCACACAGAGGAAGCCGUGCAGUGUCCAGGCAGUACCAGAAGGAGACGCUCUGCUGAACUGUUGAAGCGUAAAGCUCAGCUGGUUGCCUGCUAAUCUUGAUUUGGAAGUAGAGGCUCGAGGAAAUGGACAAGGAAUACUAGAGUACAGGGAAAGACAACCACGGGUUGUGACCUAUUACAAUCAGCUGCAUGAGGUGGAAGAGAAAAUGCCCUGCAAGCACUUUGAUCUCAACGUCACUUUUGAAGGAUCCAGCGGGCUCUAGGACCCAGAGACGUCAGGGUGGUGGUUCUUGAUAUCAGUCUACCAACUGGAUUCACCCCAGAAAACUCUGACCUGGAGAUGCUGUCCAAUUCAGUGCAUCGUUACAUCAGUAACUUCCAGAUUGUAGACAACCUGAGUGACAGAGGCUCCCUGAUCAUUCACCUGUUCAAAGUAACAUCACUGUAUUUAUAAUUAUUAUUCUAUAUCAUAUCAUUUUAUGUUAUUCAAAUGCUUUUCUUUUUUUCCAAGAAGCAGGUUUCUCAAUGCUCAGUAAAUGAGUCUUUAUGACCACAGUCAACAAUCUGAGGCAGUUUUAGGCUAUUACACAAAACCAGCUUAUUGGUACCAAAGCCACGGUUCAGAACUCAGACUUGCUAAAUCAGUGUUAGUGUAGUGCAGUGUAGGGCUGCAGCCAGAGUACUGAGGAUAGUUAGCAAGAGAGAUCAUAUUUCUCCUAUGCUGGUUUCUCUUCAUUGGCUUCCUGUGAAAUGUAGAAUAGAAUUCAAAAUCCUUCUUCUGACAUAUAAAGCUCUUAACAACCACUCUCCAUCAUAUCUUAAAGACCUGAUAGUACCAUAUUAUCCUAGCAGAACUCUUCGCUCUCAGACUGCAGGCUUACUUGGAGAAGUGACCUGUAACUUCUCUCUAAAAGUAGAAUGGGAGGCAGAGCCUUCAGUUAUUAGCUCCUCUCCUGUGGAACCAGCUCCCAGUUUGGGUUCUGGAGGCGGACACCCUCUCUAAUUUUAAGACCAGGCUUAAAACCUUCCUUUUUGACAAAUCUUAUAGUUAGGACUGACUGGGGGACCCUGAGGGGGUCAGCUGGAGUCUUCCUCUUGGACGUCCCUUAGUUCUGCCCCUAGUUGU